UACUGGCUCAGGAUGAACGCUAGCUACAGGCUUAACACAUGCAAGUCGAGGGGCAGCAUUAUCGAAGCUUGCUUUGAUAGAUGGCGACCGGCGCACGGGUGAGUAACGCGUAUCCAACCUUCCCCUUAGUAGGGCAUAGCCCGUAGAAAUGCGGAUUAAUACCCUAUGUUGUAUUAUGAGGACAUCUGAAAGAUACCAAAGGUUCACCGCUAAGGGAUGGGGAUGCGUCUGAUUAGGUUGUUGGCGGGGUAACGGCCCACCAAGCCAUCGAUCAGUAGGGGUUCUGAGAGGAAGGUCCCCCACAUUGGAACUGAGACACGGUCCAAACUCCUACGGGAGGCAGCAGUGAGGAAUAUUGGUCAAUGGGCGAGAGCCUGAACCAGCCAAAGUAGCGUGCAGGAAGACGGCCCUAUGGGUUGUAAACUGCUUUUAUACAGGGAUAAAGUCGGGGACGUGUCCCCGUUUGUAGGUACUGUAUGAAUAAGGACCGGCUAAUUCCGUGCCAGCCGCUGC
rnacentral:rRNA from 1 species